rnacentral:rRNA from 1 species
UGAGGAAUAUUGCACAAUGGGCGAAAGCCUGAUGCAGCGACGCCGCGUGGAGGAUGAAGGUCUUCGGAUUGUAAACUUCUGUUAAAUGGGAAGAAAGGCGAGUUGUUAAUAGCAGCUUGAAAUGACGGUACCAUUAGAGAAAGCACCGGCUAACUACGUGCCAGCAGCCGCGGUAAUACGUAGGGUGCGAGCGUUAUUCGGAGUGAUUGGGCGUAAAGGGUGCGCAGGCGGCAUGGUAAGUCAAUUAUUAAAUCUCUCAGCUUAACUGGGAGCCCGUAAUAGAUACUGCCAAGCUUGAGGGUGGAAGAGAGAAGUGGAAUUCUCGGAGUAGCGGUAAAAUGCGUAGAUCUCGAGAGGAACACCGAUGGCGAAGGCAGCUUCUUGGUCCACAUCUGACGCUCAUGCACGAAAGCGUGGGGAGCAAACAGG